rnacentral:rRNA from 1 species
CCCAGACUCCUACGGGAGGCAGCAGUGGGGGAUAUUGCACAAUGGGGGGAACCCUGAUGCAGCGACGCCGCGUGAAGGAAGAAGUAUCUCGGUAUGUAAACUUCUAUCAGCAGGGAAGAAAAUGACGGUACCUGACUAAGAAGCCCCGGCUAACUACGUGCCAGCAGCCGCGGUAAUACGUAGGGGGCAAGCGUUAUCCGGAUUUACUGGGUGUAAAGGGAGCGUAGGCGGCAGUGCAAGUCAGAAGUGAAAGCCCGGGGCUCAACUCCGGGACUGCUUUUGAAACUGUACAGCUUGAUUGUAGGAGAGGCAAGUGGAAUUCCUAGUGUAGCGGUGAAAUGCGUAGAGAUCAGGAGGAACACCGGUGGCGAAGGCGGCCUGCUGGACUGCGACUGACGUUGAGGCCCGAAAGCGUGGGGAGCAAGCAGGAUUAGAUACCCUGGUAA